UGUUCAUCUUCCAAACUCGUCCAUAAGUCCUUCCACUCCCCUUAAAAUUCAUGCUCUUAUUCAAAUAUAUCAAUAUAUGUAAUAUGUAUAAAUAUAUGCAUGCAUAUACAUAUAUGAAAUGCAGCCUGUUGAGUUCUUUUACAGUUGCAUGGUUUUCUUUUCUUUUCUUUUCUUUUCUUUUCUUUUCUUUUCUUUUCUUUUCUUUUCUUUUUAAAUGAUACUGAUCAUUUGGGAUUGAGUAAUCAUUUAGGGGGUUCAUCUCUAAAAAGACUAAUUCUUUUCCUCUCAGUAGCUUUUAAUUGCCUGUAGUUCUUCAUCUGGUGAUGGUGGGGAGGAGUGUCCCCAUGUGAUUUCCUUCAUCCAUGUUGGUAUGUCAACAUUGUUCUGGUUGAAGCAGCUAAAUUGUAGAGAUUUCAUGGGCAUAGUUUCCCUGUAAGACUCAACCUUGGAACAGACUUCCUGGUUCUCUGGUCCUCUGGUCCUCUGGCCCUAUAAUCUUUAACUCCUACUUACACUAUGUUUCCUGAGCCUUAUAAGAGUUGUCAUACAGUGAAUCUCCUAACAGAGGGGACAGGCACUGUCUCUGACUCUAAUGCCAGCCUCUGGGACCCUUUCCCCCUACUGGCUGUGUCAUCUAGACUCAGUAGGACAAGAUGCAAGAUGUGAUGUGCCCAGUCUUAUUGUAACUUGAUGUGCCAAGGCUGGUUGAUAUCAAUGAAAGACCUUCCCUUUUCUGAAGAGACAGGAAGGAGGAGUCGAUGGAGGGCUAGGAAGAACUGGAAGGAGAAGUGUGUGUGUGGGGGGGGGG
rnacentral:lncRNA from 1 species